rnacentral:rRNA from 1 species
GGCAAGUCUGGUGCCAGCAGCCGCGGUAAUUCCAGCUCCAAUAGCGUAUAUUAAAGUUGUUGCGGUUAAAAGCUCGUAGUUGGAUUUCUGCCAAGGACGACCGGUCCACCUUAGGGUGCGUAUCUGUGUUGACUGAGGCAUAUAUCUAGAAAGCGCCCACUUAACUGUGGUCUGCGUUCUCUAGAGUUUUACUUUGAGGAAAUUAGAGUGUUUCAAGCAGGCUAUUGCCUGGAUACAUUAGCAUGGAAUAAUAAGAUAGGACUUCGGUUCUAUUUUGUUGGUUUUCAGGGCCAGGGUCAUGAUGAAUAGGGACAGUUGGGGCAUUAGUAUUCAGUAGUCAGAGGUGAAAUUCUUGGAUUUACUGAAGACUGACUAAUGCGAAAGCGUUA